AUUCAACUGAUGAGUCCCAAAUGGGACGAACCACGCGUCAAACUGGAU
rnacentral:hammerhead_ribozyme from 1 species